rnacentral:rRNA from 1 species
GACGAACGCUGGCGGCGUGCUUAACACAUGCAAGUCGAACGGAAAGGCCCUGCUUUUGUGGGGUGCUCGAGUGGCGAACGGGUGAGUAACACGUGAGUAACCUGCCCUUGACUUUGGGAUAACUUCAGGAAACUGGGGCUAAUACCGGAUAGGAGCUCCUGCUGCAUGGUGGGGGUUGGAAAGUUUCGGCGGUUGGGGAUGGACGCGCGGCUUAUCAGCUUGUUGGUGGGGUAGUGGCUUACCAAGGCUUUGACGGGUAGCCGGCCUGAGAGGGUGACCGGCCACAUUGGUACUGAGAUACGGCCCAGACUCCUACGGGAGGCAGCAGUGGGGAAUAUUGCACAAUGGGCGGAAGCCUGAUGCAGCAACGCCGCGUGCGGGAUGACGGCCUUCGGGUUGUAAACCGCUGUCGCCUGUGACGAAGCGUGAGUGACGGUAAUGGGUAAAGAAGCACCGGCUAACUACGUG